GACGUAGGGCGCGAGCGUUGUCCGGAUUUAUUGGGCGUAAAGAGCUCGUAGGCGGCUUGUCGCGUCGAAUGUGAAAACUCGGGGCUCAACUCGAGCUUGCAUUCGAUACGGGCAGGCUAGAGUUCGGUAGGGGGAGACUGGAAUUCCUGGUGUGCGGUGAAAUGCGCAGAUAUAGGAGGAACACCGGUGGCGAAGGCGGGUCUCGUGGGCCGAUACUGACGCUGGAGGAGCGAAAGCGUGGGGAGCGAACAGG
rnacentral:rRNA from 1 species